AUUGAACGCUGGCGGCAGGCCUAACACAUGCAAGUCGAGCGGAUGAAGGGAGCUUGCUCCUGGAUUCAGCGGCGGACGGGUGAGUAAUGCCUAGGAAUCUGCCUGGUAGUGGGGGAUAACGUCCGGAAACGGGCGCUAAUACCGCAUACGUCCUGAGGGAGAAAGUGGGGGAUCUUCGGACCUCACGCUAUCAGAUGAGCCUAGGUCGGAUUAGCUAGUUGGUGGGGUAAAGGCCUACCAAGGCGACGAUCCGUAACUGGUCUGAGAGGAUGAUCAGUCACACUGGAACUGAGACACGGUCCAGACUCCUACGGGAGGCAGCAGUGGGGAAUAUCGGACAAAGGGCGAAAGCCUGAUCCAGCCAUGCCGCGUGCGUGAAGAAGGUCUUCGGAUUGUAAAGCACUUUAAGUUGGGAGGAAGGGCAGUAAGUUAAUACCUUGCUGUUUUGACGUUACCAACAGAAUAAGCACCGGCUAACUUCGUG
rnacentral:rRNA from 1 species